UCAGCAGUAUUACCUAUAGCUAACCAGCUGUGUGAUUCUCUCCAAGCCCAUUUUUUAACCUCAUUAUUUGUAAAACAACAGGGUUGGACUCUAUUAUACCUAAGAUUGUUUCCAUUUUAUAAUUUUAAAUCUGUGCAAAUUAUACUCAUGCACUCUAGGAAUAAACACGUAAGGUUGUUGAUAACGUGAAAACAUUGUAAAUAUUUAACUCAAAUUUGAUGCUUUUGGUAGAGAAAUUCGGUGGAAAAAAAUAUAACUCAGGAUUGUCAUAAAAUCUGAAUCAAAAGCCUGUCAGGAGUUGUGUUUACUGGGUAACAUUACAAUUCCCCUCCACAUAUGGAUUUACUAAAACAAAAUGUCAAAGUGUUUCAAGAAGAAAUCAUUGUUUAUUGUAUUCACACCAGUAGCUAGAAUGAUUCCAUAAAGAAGUCUCACGGCAUUAACAGUAUGAAACAUUGAGUGGUUUAGAGAUCUGCCUAAAAAGAGUUUACCUUCUCCCUCAACUAUUAAGGAUUACUUACCACAUGCAACAAUUUGGAAGGCACAAUUAACAACAGAUGAUUUAAAAAAUGCAAAUCCAUCAACAUUUUAUGUCCAGCCUUAAAAAGAAGAAAAACGAUGUUAUCAAGAUAUGAAAGGAAAGAUACAUUGUAGUGGUCACGGUAAGACAUAUUAAUAUGGAAUAUUUUAGGUCAAACCUGAAUCUUUGGUAUCUAUUAAUCUGUGUGAUCCCAACCUGAAAUUAUGACUCCAAUUUAAGUCCCAACCUACUGAAAUCUUACUAGUUGACUGGGAUGGGGGUGGGAGGGACUCUAUUAUUUUGAUCUUUUUUCUGGGUCUCUUGUAGCUGAAAGAGUAGAGUAGGUGGAAAUAACCACAUUUUUCUAUCUAAAAGCUGUCUUAUUCAAAAAUAUUCAGAGAAAAUUUUAAAAAUCAGAAGAGAGAAUCUGUGCCAAAUGCACAAACUAAUUUGUAAAACAGCUGGAAUUCUGCUUCAGCAAACCUUUGCUUUUACAGAAGAAUGAACAGGAAUCAGUAUUAGUAGGGGAAAAUAAUUUAGACACACUGUUGUCAAGGUAACCUUUUCUUAAUUUGGGGAAGAUUUUCCCAAGUUCUAACACAUACAAAAAUAAUAAUGAUAAUUUCCCUUCUCUUCAUUCUUUGUUAUGAUGAUACAAGUGAUAACAUGCAACUGAAAAGUGAAUUUAAAAACAAGCCAAACCAGAGAAAGACUUGUACAGCAGACAACUAGAUUUCCUCAUAGAGAAAAUUGGUAAAUAAUGGCAUGAGUUCCGAUGAAGAGGAUUAUGAAAGCUCUUAACUUUCCUUUUUAAGUCUUAAGUACAUUGUUACUCACAUAAAGUCCUUGUGCACACUAAGGGUCAGAUACAGUUUAUCUCUGGAGUUAUUCUGGCUCUAAGAUGCAGAAUUUUACUUCUGAAAUAAGAUUAAAUGUGACAGAUAAUAUUUGAGAUUUGUGAGCAGGAAAGAAAACUGUACUUUGGUAUUUAUGUCUCAUUAAAUCAUUUUUUGUACACAGUUCUCAUUAAGUCCUUUUGGAAAAAACUGUUAGUUUUCAUCAAAAGCCAUUUCUUUGCUUGUUUCCUAACAAGAUAAUUGGAGCUGGGCACAUCAUCUGGCUGGAAAGACAUUUCCCACCCACCCUUGCAGCCUGGUCUGGCCACAGACAUCAGUUCUUUCUACUGCCAAGCAGAUGAUAACAGUGCCCUGUGGGAGGAGGGAGUAAUAAGGAAGGAAGAAAUCUGAGUCCCUGCAUGACAGUGUGGAGCAGAGAUAUCCCAACAACCUGCAUUGUUUCUCUAAGGAUUCUCAUGUGAGAGAGGAAUAAAUUAAUGUUUUUCUUCAA